CAGCAGCCACGGGAAUACGAAGGGUGCAAGCGUUAAUCGGAAUUACUGGGCGUAAAGCGUGCGUAGGCGGUGAGUUAAGUCUGCUGUGAAAUCCCCGGGCUCAACCUGGGAAUGGCAGUGGAUACUGGCUCGCUAGAGUGUGUCAGAGGAUGGUGGAAUUCCCGGUGUAGCGGUGAAAUGCGUAGAGAUCGGGAGGAACAUCAGUGGCGAAGGCGGCCAUCUGGGACAACAUUGACGCUGAGGCACGAAAGCGUGGGGAGCAAACAGGAUUAGAUACCCGGGUAGUCCCUGUCUCUUAUAC
rnacentral:rRNA from 1 species